AACGAACGCUGGCGGCGUGCCUAACACAUGCAAGUCGAACGGGGUUGAGGGGCUUGCUCCUCAAUUUAGUGGCGCACGGGUGAGUAACGCGUAGAUAAUCUGCCUGACGAUCUGGGAUAACACUUCGAAAGGGGUGCUAAUACCGGAUAAGCCCACGGGGACUUUGGUCUUUGCGGGAAAAGGGGGGGACUUUUUGGCCUUCUGUCGUCAGAUGAGUCUGCGUACCAUUAGCUAGUUGGUAGGGUAAAGGCCUACCAAGGCUACGAUGGUUAGCUGGUCUGAGAGGAUGAUCAGCCACACUGGAACUGGGACACGGUCCAGACUCCUACGGGAGGCAGCAGUGGGGAAUUUUGCGCAAUGGGCGAAAGCCUGACGCAGCAACGCCGCGUGAGUGAUGAAGGCUUUCGGGUCGUAAAGCUCUGUCGAGGGGAAAGAAGUGUAUUAUGGUUAAUAGCCGUUCCACUUGACGGUACCCUCAAAGGAAGCACCGGCUAACUCCGUGCCAGCCGCCGCGGUAAUAC
rnacentral:rRNA from 1 species